UACGGGGUCAGGGCAGUGUCGUCGAUUUAUUGGGCGUAAAGAGCUCGUAGGUGGUUCGGUAAGUCGGAUGUGAAAUCUCCAGGCUCAACCUGGAGGGGUCAUUCGAUACUGCCGUGACUAGAGUUCGGUAGGGGAGUGUGGAAUUCCUGGUGGAGCGGUGAAAUGCGCAGAUAUCAGGAGGAACACCCGUAGCGAAGGCGGCACUCUGGGCCGAUACUGACACUGAGGAGCGAAAGCGUGGGGAGCGAACAGG
rnacentral:rRNA from 1 species